GGUUCGAACCGGUUUCCUUCUUAUAUUUCAGCGUAUAAACUACAAAAAACAUUCGUUUGCAUUAUACAUUCGCCAUUUUACGCAGCGACGGGUCGGUUGUUGCGUGUUAUCUCUCCGCGGGAAAAAAAAAACGUCUUUUACGAUUUUAAUUUUUUUUCGUGAGCUGUCUGUUCACUUCCUAUCCACACCAUGGGCAAAACGAAGUCAGCUGUCCCCGCUGAGGGCAGACGGAGUUCGCCGCGGCUUGCUGCAGUGAGAUCUCCUAAAGCUGCAGUGGAGGCUAAGAAAAAACCUGCUGUAAAAAAGGUACUCAAAGCAAAGAAGGCCAAAGUAGCUGAAAAUGGGAACGACAAGGCUGAGGAGCCAAAGGCCGACGCCGCUGAAGCCAAAUGAAUAACCGUUGAUGUGCUCACUCUGUGUACUUGGUGAUUGUACAGUUUUAAAUUAGUAUUUUUUACCAAGUUUUAUAUUACAAAUGUCAUUUAUAUGUCUGUUUUGGGCUUGCACUUGUUGUAACAAAAGUUUGUUGUCACAUUCAUAUCCAUUUUAUAUCCAUUUAAAAAUUAUUGCCGUCCAUAUCUCGUAGACGUGGCAUUUUUAGUUUGUCUAAUCCUGUUUUUUUCUUUUUUUGUUCUGUUUUUUUUUUAAACUGCUGAGUAAUUGAUAUUUUUCCACCAAGUUGGAAUUUUAAUCUAAUUUUAAACAUUAUGAGGCAGCUAAAGCAUAUUGUUAAAAUUUGAGGGAAAAUAGGAAUUUUGCCUUUUAUCUCCUUGUAUUUUAAUGUUAAACUAAUAAGAAAUUGCUUACCAAAUGUUUCCAAACACUGUAUGUUGACACAAGUUCCAGUCAGUAAAAAAAAUACCACAAAAAAAAAAAAUACUGUUAUUAGGUCAAAAAAAGAUUGAUACAUCCCAAAAACAUGUAUGAUGUGAACCUCGUCAUCUGAUGAAAAGUCCUGCUAAGUUAUGUUUAUUUCCUGACUGAAGCUUUUCUGACUUUAAUGGUUGAUCUUAAUGUUCUUGAAUAAAAAUUGUCAAAAUGUC